rnacentral:rRNA from 1 species
AUUGAACGCUGGCGGCCGGCCUAACACAUGCAAGUCGAGCGGAGCGGCGGACGGGUGAGUAAUGCCUAGGAAUCUGCCUGGUAGUGGGGGAUAACGUCCGGAAACGGGCGAUAAUCCCGCAUACUAUCAGAUGAGCCUAGGUCGGAUUAGCUAGUUGGUGGGGUAACGGCCUACCAAGGCGAAGAUCCGUAACUGGUCUGAGAGGAUGAUCAGUCACACUGGAACGUAGACACGGUCCAGACUCCUCCGGGAGGCAGCAGUGGGGAAUAUUGGGCAAUGGGCGAAAGCCUGAUCCAGCCAUGCCGCGUGUGUGAAGAAGGUCUUCGGAUUGUAAAGCACUGUUAGUUGGCAGGCGUUACCAACAGAAUAAGCACCGGCUAACUUCGUGCCAGCAGCCGCGGUAAUAC